UACAGAGGGUGCAAGCGUUAAUCGGAAUUACUGGGCGUAAAGCGUGCGUAGGCGGUUAUUUAAGUCGGGGGUGAAAUCCCCGGGCUCAACCUGGGAAUUGCAUUCGAUACUGGAUAGCUAGAGUUCGGCAGAGGGAAGCGGAAUUUCGGGUGUAGCGGUGAAAUGCGUAGAUAUCCGAAGGAACAUCAGUGGCGAAAGCGGCUUCCUGGACCAGAACUGACGAUCAGGCACGAAAGCGUGGGGAGCAAACAGG
rnacentral:rRNA from 1 species